rnacentral:lncRNA from 1 species
AGCUGUUUGUCUUUGCAUGAUGCCAGGCUGAGGCUGCUCACAGCCCUGCUGUGCUGUGGCCGUCUGGCCAAGACCCUGGACGUCAAACCCACAUCACCCCAUGGUUGCAAGUUGCAACCAUCUUCCAACCCUGUCUUUCGUGCCUGACCCAAGCUUUCGGAGGCAAACAUUUGAUGACUGACACUGUCAGCAAGCUCCUCCCUGGCUUUCUCAGCACACUCUCUUGUAGUGUAGGUCAAAAACAAUGGAGGCACGAUCCCUCGAAUACUGCUCAGUAAUUCAAGCAUCAAGGCAACCAAUCAGUCACCUGCCUUGCUCAGGAGCUUAAGAGAAACUGGGUGAUUAACUCUGCAAACAAGAAAAAAUGCUUCUUGCGAGAUUAUAGCCAAGUGCAGAGCAGAUGAAGACCAUCAAAUGGACCAUAGAUAGUUGCAUCCAGUGUUGGUUUCUCCAUUGGUGAACAAAAGCUUGCUAAAACUUAAUUGAACAAAACACACAAAUAAAUAUCAUCAUAUUAGCAGAUACAAUGUCAAUUUAGUGAUUCAACGCCUAGAGUCUGUAAACCAGUUAGACUAACAAUAUGAAAAUAUGUAUUGUUUCUUUAACUAAUGAUUCGGCUCGCCAAGUCGUAUCACUUGAAAGCUUACAAAAAUAAACCAAAGACCGAACCAGAAAUCUUGAAAAAAAAAUACUCACAUUUGAAGAUCCACACAGGUUUGCAUGUGGUAUCAAAUUCACCAAGUGUCGAACAGCAUGAGAAAUAUCAAAAUCAAACAAAUUCUCCAGAAC